CAAUAGCGUAUAUUUAAGUUGUUGCAGUUAAAAAGCUCGUAGUUGGAUUUCGGAUGGGACUUGCCGGUCCGUCGUUUCGAUGUGCACUGGCCAGUCCUAUCUUGUUGUCGGGGACUAGCUCCUGGGCUUCACUGUCCGGGACUAGGAGCUGACGAGGUUACUUUGAGUAAAUUAGAGUGUUCAAAGCAAGCCUACGCUCUGAAUACAUUAGCAUGGAAUAACACGAUAGGACUCUGGCUUAUCUUGUUGGUCUGUGAGACCAGAGUAAUGAUUAAGAGGGACAGUCGGGGGCAUCCGUAUUUCAUUGUCAGAGGUGAAAUUCUUGGAUUUAUGAAAGACGAACUUCUGCGAAAGCAUUUGCCAAGGAUGUUUUCAUUAA
rnacentral:rRNA from 1 species